rnacentral:rRNA from 1 species
AUUGAACGCUGGCGGCAGGCCUAACACAUUCAAGUAGAACGCGUGGCGGACGGGUGAGUAAUGUCUGGGAAACUGCCUGAUGGAGGGGGAUAACUACUGGAAACGGUAGCUAAUACCGCAUACCAUCGGAUGUGCACAGAUGGGAUUAGCUAGUAGGUGGGGUAAAGGCUCACCUAGGCGACGAUCCCUAGCUGGUCUGAGAGGAUGACUAGCCACACUGUAACUGAUACACUGUCCAGACUCCUCCGGUAGGCAGCAGUGGGGCAUAUUGCACAAUGGGCGCAAGCCUGAUGCAGCCAUGCCGCGUGUAUGAAGAAGGCCUUCGGGUUGUAAAGUACUUUCAGCGGGGAGGCGUUACCCGCAGAAGAAGCACCGGCUAACUCCGUGCCAGCAGCCGCGGUAAUAG